GAUUUUGGUUUUUACUUUAUUAGAAUUAACUGCCCCCAUCCCUAUUUGGAUCCCUCCAUUCCUGCUGGGAGUGAAGCCAUAUUGAGGUAACAUUGAUUUACAGCCUGCAUAAGAUUCAGGGGAAUAAGUUACUGUUGUGAAAGUAUUUACAUAUUUAGUGUGACUUGAAAGCCAGGUCAUAUUUAUGCGGCUGCAGCUAUGAGCUUACCAGAGAGCCUCUGGCUGUCUGUUGACUCCAAGUGUUUUGUCUGUGCACACUUCCGGGCAUCAGCUCACCCGGAUUCUGACCUCACGGCCCCUGAUUGGUGCCCUCUGCCCAUAUAACAUCGGGGUGUCCAGUGGUGGAGUCAGAUCGCCUCACCCACCGGCUCUGCGCUGUCCCGCCUGCGCUCUGCCCUUCCGCUGACCACCAUGAAGCUCCUGGCUGUCCUGCUGCUCGUGGCAGUGUCCACUGCCCUGGUCUCCGGCCAGAGCACACGAGCUCCAAGUGAUUACAGCUCUGAGAUCACAGAAGAUGCAGAUUUUUCCAACUCUGAGAGCACACGAGCUCCAGGUGAUUACAGCUCUGGUUACUUCAGCAAGGUAUUUUCUGGCACUCCUUAAGGCGCUGCACAGUGAGCGAAACAGAAUCGGCCUUGACCUUCUGCAUUGGAUCAUCGGCUGGGGCCAGAAUGUCACCUGACUUGAUCACCCAGUAGCACCAAAUCUGCCUAACGCCCUGUGCCCAGUAGUUUAUGUGAUCUCAGUGAUUCAAUAAAAAUGA